rnacentral:rRNA from 1 species
CGCGAAUUCGCCCUUCGGGGUGCAGCAGGCGCGAAAACUUUACAAUGCUGGAAACAGCGAUAAGGGGACCUCGAGUGCCAGGUUACAAAUCUGGCUGUCGUGAUGCCUAAAAAGCAUUGCAUAGCAAGGGCCGGGCAAGACCGGUGCCAGCCGCCGCGGUAACACCGGCGGCUCGAGUGGUAACCGUUAUUAUUGGGUCUAAAGGGUCUGUAGCCGGCCGGAUAAGUCUCUUGGGAAAUCCAGCAGCUCAACUGUUGGGCUUUCAGGAGAUACUGUCUGGCUCGAGGCCGGGAGAGGUGAGAGGUACUUCAGGGGUAGGGGUGAAAUCUUGUAAUCCUUGAAGGACCACCAGUGGCGAAGGCGUCUCACCAGAACGGACCUGACGGCAAGGGACGAAAGCUAGGGGCACGAACCGGAUUAGAUACCCGGGUAGUCCUAGCCGUAAACGAUACUCGCUAGGUGUCGGCCACGGUGCGACCGUUGUCGGUGCCGUAGGGAAGCCGUGAAGCGAGCCACCUGGGAAGUACGGCCGCAAGGCUGAAACUUAAAGGAAUUGGCGGGGGAGCAC